rnacentral:rRNA from 1 species
ACGACGCUGGCGGCGUGCUUAACACAUGCAAGUCGAGCGGAGAUUAUAUUGAAGAUUUAUCGGAUAUAUAUCUUAGCGGCGGACGGGUGAGUAACGCGUGGGCAAUCUGCCUCAUACAGGGGGAUAACACUGGGAAACUAGUGCUAAUACCGCAUAAAAUAAUGAAGUGGCAUCACUUUAUUAUCAAAGGAGCAAUCCGGUGUGAGAUGAGCCCGCGUCCGAUUAGCUAGUUGGUGGGGUAACGGCCUACCAAGGCGACGAUCGGUAGCCGAACUGAGAGGUUGAUCGGCCACAUUGGGACUGAGACACGGCCCAGACUCCUACGGGAGGCAGCAGUGGGGAAUAUUGCGCAAUGGGGGAAACCCUGACGCAGCAACGCCGCGUGAGCGAUGAAGGCCUUCGGGUCGUAAAGCUCUGUCCUCAAGGAAGAUAAUGACGGUACUUGAGGAGGAAGCCCCGGCUAACUACGUG